AACCCAAAGGACUUGACGGUGUCCCACCCAUCUAGAGGAGCCUGUUCUAUAAUCGAUGAUCCCCGCUAAACCCAACCUCCCCUUGCAAUCAGCCUGUAUACCUCCGUCGCAAGCUUACCAUAUGAAUGGCCCAAUGAUCCACCAAUACGUCAGGUCAAGGUGCAGCUUAUGAGGAGGUAAGCAAUGGGCUACAAUUUCUAACCUAGAACAAACAAAACACUGUAUGAAACUCAGUUAUGAAGGCGGAUUUAGUAGUAAAAAGAAAAUAGCGUGUUCUUUUUAACUAGGCCCUGGGACAGUGUACACACCGCCCGUCGCCCUCUUC
rnacentral:rRNA from 1 species